AACAGAAGAAGCACACUCUCGGCACUCAAGGAAAUGCAAACUCAGGCAGCAACAGCAGCCUCAUUUUCAUCUGAGGAGUUGGCAAAAACUGAAAAGAAUAACACCCAGUGCCUGUAGAGAUUCUGAGAAAAAGACAUUCCUGUUCAUUGCUGGUAGGAAUGUGGCCAGCUGUGACUUUUCUGGAAAGGAACUUGGUUCUCUGAAAACCACACUUGACAGCAAAAAGGAAGAAACUUCUGACAUUAGCUAUGAGGUGGAUGAGUGUCCAGGAUGUUGGGCCAAGUGGACAAGCCAGACCUGGGCGAGACACGCAGGGAAAUCUCAGUGCUGGUCAUCAUCGGAAACCGUCUCAUCUGCAUAUGGACUAUUUGAGAGCCCUCAGAAGCAAGAGCUCACCUGUCUCGUCCAUACCAAAUCCUCAGCAUCUGCACUCCCGAGAAAGUGAAAGUGAAGUCGCUCAGUCGUGUCGGACUCUUUGCGACCCCAUGGACACCAGGCUCCUCCUUCCAUGGGAUUUUCUAGGCAAGAGUACUGGAGUGGGUUGCCUUUUCCUUCUCCAGGGAACUUCCCGACCCUGGGAUCGAACCCAGGUCUCAGGCAUAGACAGACACUUUACCGUCUGAGCCACCAGGGAAGUCUCUGCACUCCCGAGAAAUACUUGUUAAAUGAAUGAAUGAUUGAAGUCCUUCAUGGUGUCUUCCUAACUGAAAGGAGAGCUUCAUCCUGGGUGAUCCAUGGCAGUUUAUUUACUGCUGUAUGCAGGGCUUUUCCUGGUUGUGGUGGGUCCAUGCAUUGGUGGUCUCCACUGACUUUCAGCCCUCUUCCUCGCAUGUAAAUUCCCGGAUUGGACACAUAACUAACAUGCUUUGGCCAAUGGGAUGGUAGCAGGUGUGCUGGGCACAGAGCCUUGAUAAAUAUUUGAAUGCUGGGGUCUGUCCUCUUGGGACAUUGUCUCUUGAAGUCCUGAGUUACUCUGUAAAGAGGUCUAGCUGCUGUGCUGACAUGGGGCACAAGUGUUCCAGUCAUCCCCUCGUUCCAGCCACCUCAGCUGAAGCCCCAGAAGUCUGAGUGAAGAUGCUCUUUGGAACCUUCCACCCCAGGAGACACCUGGCAGGGUGGAAGAACCACCCAGCUGAGCCCAGCCCAGAGCGCAGAGCCAGGGGAAGUAUGCAGUCACGUUUUAAACAAGCUUGACAUGCUGACUUCAGCAAGAAGUAGCUGAAAUACCAGUUUACUUUCCAUUUUGAAUGGCUGUGCGAGUCCACAACUCAGAAACCGAGGUGGCAAAGGCUGCAACACGGUUAGCUUUGCUUUUGCACUUUGCCCCGCAUCCCACACAAGUCAGUCAAUAGUUCGUUGAGCAGUUUAUUGAACUCUCCAUGCUAAUCUCUGUGCUACUUAAGUGUGUGAUGCAGAGGGUGCUGGUCGUUUUCUCCACAAUCUUUAAGGUCAUGCCAGAGGUGUCAGUGGGUCCAUGCCACGCCUUGUUCCCGACCACACAGCUUGUGCAAGGCUGUGGCAGCUGGGCCUGCAGGGGUGAGCCUCCUGCAGACACUGCAGCCAGGUUACCGCCCUCUCCCUAGGCCUUCCCUCCUGGACCGUUCCCCCCACCACCCCCGCCCAUACCAGCUACUCUCCUAGAGAGAGAGAGAGAGAGAGAACAGGGUAGGUCUGCCUAACCUUGACCUUCAUUCAUGUCUUAAAAGAGGAGACAAACCCUACUCUAUACUGCCUUAAAACCUACAUUUAAGUAGAAAGCCUUAUUUUUUCCCCUUAUUUUUCCCUCUUGGACGGAAUUAAGUAAAUCCAAAGUGACAACACAGUUUAUCUCAGAUUAGAAGUUAUGAUUGGUGGUUUGAAAGCAAAAAAAAAGUCAAUUUUAUAGUUAAAUACAUUAAAAUUUUUUAAGGAAGGAAGGAACGGGAAAUCUUUUUAUUAAAAAAGUCAAAUGCACAGACUAAAAAGACCUAAUAAUUACUAAGUUGCCAUAUUCACUUUACAUGUGAAUGUGUGUGUGUGUGUGUG
ensembl:lncRNA